UCAUUUCAGACCACACAUACCUACAGACCACACACAUACAAUUCUAGGGCAAAUCAUUUCAGCCUCCCAAAUCGCCUCCAUCUCUAUUCUCGUUCUCAACUCUGAAUUUGCCCUCUCUCUGUCUCUGCAACUGCAAACUACAAAAUCUACAAGAAUCAGACCAAAUCACCUCCAUCUCUAUUCUCGUUCUCAACUCUGAACUUGCCAACUCUUUGUCUCUGCAACUACAAACUACAAAAUCUACCAGAAUCAGAACCCAUGUCGGCAUAUCAUUUCAGAUUGUUCAAAAAAUCAAAACCCAUAUCCUUUAGUUUCCAUCGCCGGCUGUUCCAGUUCGGGCUCGCCGUUCGAAAGCUUCAGCCUCAGGCCCGUUGUCUCUCAACUCUCAAGCCCUCUCUACUCUCUCAUAAGGAUGGCGUUGAGUAACGACUUGAAGAUCAGUAAUCGACCAAAAUUACAGAACUCUACAGACUAUUGCUGAGAUAAUGAAGCUCAGAAAUGUGCACUCAAGGUUCAGAUUUAUAAGACCGGACUGGUGACGGCUCACCACAUGAGCAAAUUCAAAAAUCCUAGGCACAGAAAAGAGGCGAGUGAGAGAUUGUUAUGGAUCGCAAAGAUAAUCAAUCUCCACAAGAUGAGACUGCUCGGAUUCUGGUGGAAUUCCUGGAAGUGGCCAUCACUGGUAUUAUUUUUCUCAAAUAAUUAUAUCCUCCUGGUGCAUUUGAAAGACGGCAAUAUAUGAAUGUUGUGGUUCAGAAAGCUCGACAGCCUCAGCUUCAAGAAUACAUCAAUUCUGCUGUCACUGGACUCCUUCCUUUUAUCCAGAAGGGACUGGUGGAGAGAGUUGCGGUUAUUUUCUUCAACAUUAAAAAUAUCCCAGUGGAGAGAUUUAUUUUCAAGCUGAAUGUCAACCAGUCUUAUGGUUCAAAGGCUCAGCGAGGACGUCGCUUAUAAUAACAGUUGGGCCAUCUUCUAGACAUCAUGGAGAAACCACAAGCACCAUAAUGUUUGGACAACGGGUGGGUUGGAGUAUUUCAUUAUUCAAAUAUAGCCUUCUAAACUAUAUGCAUUAUAUCAUGUGGUUGAUCACUUAUAUGGCUCUCGGUUCCCAUUUGUUUGACAUACUCGUGGUUUUGAGCUUUCAAUAUGCGUGAUACUUAUUACUUAAUUUUUGACAUUCGUAUCUGUUUGAGAUCAAAGCUUGACACUGAUAUUUUCUAUC